AGACAUAGGAAGUGACAAAUCGGGGAGCACUUGUCCCAAAGAGGCAUCAAAUGAUGUAGAAGACAGAUAUCUGCUUAUGCCGGGCACUGCCAAUCCCAGACUUGUCUGCAGCAGGAAGCUGAGUAUACUAUCACAGCGUGCCUGCCCUGGUGGAGUUACAGGCAGAUCUUCGUUUAAGAGACUAGGGACUCUCAGGAUUCCCACCUCUCAAGGAUCAGAACCUGGAAUAGACAGAUGCUCUGUUCCUGUUCUGGCCCUUCCAUGGAUUCUGGGAUUCUUCACUCUGUGACUUUCUGCCUUCUUGGAGCAGCUUUGGUGGAUGCUGGGGUCAUGCAGAACCCAAGAUACCAGGUUGUCAGGGCAGGAAAACCAGUGACAUUGAGCUGUUCUCAGAAUCUGAAUCAUGACUGCAUGUACUGGUACCAACAAAAGCCAAGUCAAGCACCAAAGAAUCUGCUUUACUACUAUAACAAGAAUUUAUACAGGGAUCCUGACACUGUGGAUAACUUCCAGGCCAGCCAGCCCAACACUUCUUUCUGCUUUCUUGACAUCCGCUCAGCAGACCUGGGGGACUCUGCCAUGUACCUCUGUGCCAGCAGUAAAGCCACAGAGCUGCAGUGUAGCCUCCCUUCUGCUCAUAAACCUCUUCCUUCCCCAGGUCCCAGGGCUUUCUCUAGAACCACCCCUCCCUUCUUGCAGCAGUAG